rnacentral:rRNA from 1 species
UACGGAGGGUGCGAGCGUUGUCCGGAAUCACUGGGCGUAAAGGGCGCGUAGGCGGCAGGCCAAGCGUGCGGUGAAAGUCCGGGGCUCAACCCCGGAUCUGCCGUGCGGACUGGUUUGCUAGAGCACUGUAGAGGCGAGUGGAAUUCCGGGUGUAGCGGUGGAAUGCGUAGAGAUCCGGAAGAACACCGGUGGCGAAGGCGGCUCGCUGGGCAGUGGCUGACGCUGAGGCGCGACAGCGUGGGGAGCAACAGG